CUCGGAGUUUGAUCCUGGCUCAGAUUGAACGCUGGCGGAAUGCUUUACACAUGCAAAGUCGAACGGUAGAGGGGGCAACCCCGUUGAGAGUGGCGAACGGGUUGAGUAAUAUAUCGGAACGUGCCCAGUCGUGGGGGAUAACGUAGUGAAAAUUACGCGUAAUACCGCAUACGAUCUAAGGAUGAAAGCGGGGAUCGCGAAGACCUCGCGCGAUUGGAGCGGCCGAUAUCAGAUUAGGUAGUUGGUAGGUAAAGGCCUACCGAAGCCAACGAUCUGUAGCUGGUCUGAGAGGACGACCAGCCAC
rnacentral:rRNA from 1 species